rnacentral:rRNA from 1 species
UACGGAGGGUGCUAGCGUUGUUCGGAAUCACUGGGCGUAAAGCGCGUGUAGGCGGCCCACUAAGUCUGAUGUGAAAGCCCGGGGCUCACCCCCGGAAGUGCAUUGGAAACUGGUGGACUCGAGUCCCGGAGAGGAGGGUGGAAUUCCUGGUGUAGCGGUGAAAUGCGUAGAUAUCUGGAGGAACACCGGUGGCGAAGGCGGCAUCCUGGACCGGUAUUGACGCUGAGGCGCGAAAGCUAGGGGAGCAAACGGG